GACGAACGCUGGCGGCGUGCUUAACACAUGCAAGUCGAACGAUGAAGAAGAGAAACGCGAACUUCGGUUCAAAUUUCACUUCGGAUUAGUGGCAGACGGGUGAGUAACGCGUGAGCAACCUACCUCUUACAAAGGGAUAGCCUCGGGAAACCGUAAUUAAUACCAUAUGACACAUUCAUAAGGCAUCUUAAGAAUGUUAAAGCUACGGCGGUAAGAGAUGGGCUCGCGUCCCAUUAGCUAGUUGGUGAGGUAACGGCCCACCAAGGCGACGAUGGGUAACCGGCCUGAGAGGGUGAACGGUCACAUUGGAACUGAGACACGGUCCAAACUCCUACGGGAGGCAGCAGUGGGGAAUAUUGCACAAUGGAGGGAACUCUGAUGCAGCGACGCCGCGUGAGCGAUGAAGGAAUUCGUUUCGUAAAGCUCUGUUCUAUGGGAAGAAAAGGACUGUACCAUAGGAGAAAGCCCCGGCUAAAUACGUG
rnacentral:rRNA from 1 species